AAUAUGAAAUUUUUUAAAUUAAGAAUUAGAUUUAAAUUUUUUUUAAGAGGAAUCAAAACUCUGUAAGCUACCACAUUGACAUUAGAAAACCCCACUUUUACAAACCUCAAGCCAUUUUCCACACUUUCAUUCUCUCUCUAGAAAAAUCAAACUCCCAUCCUCUGCAUUCUCUCUAAUCUCAAGCUUCAUUGCUCCAGAAAAUCUUCAAUUGGAUGGCACCUCAGUGAUUGCGACUCAAAGAGCUCCAUUUAAAACCGAUUAGUUUUCCCUUUCUCUGUCGGUCUGUAGGUUUUUCUAGAAAUUCCGUGAAGUGCAAGCUUGAACCAAAUUUAGUUGGGCUAUAUUGUGAAAUUCCCAGAGGUUUCAGAGGCCCCUUUGGAGCAAAUACUAGAUGGCCCAGAUAUCCCAUACACUGCUGAUGCUGCAGAGUAGUGUAGCUUAGUUAUUACCUAUUGUAUAUAACUUAGUCUUCUUUCCUUCUCUUCUUUUUGAAAGACUCUAUAACAAUAUGUGAAGCUUUUAAUUCUCUUUUAUUUUGGAUGACUGUAUCUUAUAAUACUUCAUCAUACUUCUACUCUUAA